rnacentral:rRNA from 1 species
AGGAUUCCUUUAGUAAUGGCGAAUGAACAGGGAGUUGCUCAGUGUGGGAAUCGGGGUCAGUGGCCUUGAGUUGUAGUCUGCAGAUGUUAUGCCAAUGGGGAUGUUGAUGCAAGCCUCUUGGAAAAGAGCAUGAAAGAGGGUGAGAGUCCCGUCUGGCAUCUGCUUUCCCCAUGUACGGCAAACCCUCUAAGAGUCACGUUCCUUGGGCCUGGAGCGCAAACUGGGUGGUAAUCUCCAUCUAAAGCUUAAUAUGUGUUCAAGACCGAUAGCAAACAAGUACCAUGAGGGAAAGGUGAAAAGGACUUUCAAAAGAGUGUUAAAAGUGUCUGAACUUGCUGAGAUGAAAGCGAAUGGAACCAAUGCCGUUUGGUGAGAUUUCUGUGCCCACUGGUACGCGUUUGCUACUGCAAUGCAAGUGCUGUAGUAGAUGUGGUGCUGAUGCGUGCAGUGUUUCUCUUCUUGACAUGUUGCUGUCAGUCUGCUUCUGUGAAAAAUGCCUGGUGCAUGGUGAGUUUCCUUUCUGUGACUGAAUGUGCCUGACUGAACACACCUGCUUACUGAACUCUGUGUGUCUAGCUGCAAUGAUCUGUGGUGCAAGGGUUUGCUGGAAGGGCCUAAUCCUUCUGCUCACGCUGCACCUGCAGAUCAUAUUCUUGAUGCAACCACAGCGACAAAGUGGACCUAUUCGACCCGUCUUGAAACACGGACCAAGGAGUCUAACAUGUGUGCAAGCUCUUUGGUGAGCAAACCUACUAGCACAAUGAAAGUGUUUGCUGGGAUAUCUGCACCAGCAGUGGACCAAUUAAUUGGGAGAGG